rnacentral:tRNA from 11 species
GGAGAGAUGGCUGAGUGGUUGAUAGCCCCGGUCUUGAAAACCGGUAUAG